UAGGGAAUCUUCGGCAAUGGGGGGAACCCUGACCGAGCAACGCCGCGUGAGUGAAGAAGGUUUUCGGAUCGUAAAGCUCUGUUGUUAAGGAAGAACGAGUGUGAGAAUGGAAAGUUCAUACUGUGACGGUACUUAACCAGAAAGGGACGGCUAACUACGUGCCAGCAGCCGCGGUAAUACGUAGGUCCCGAGCGUUGUCCGGAUUUAUUGGGCGUAAAGCGAGCGCAGGGGGUUAGAUAAGUCUGAAGUUAAAGGCAGUGGCUCAACCAUUGUAGGCUUUGGAAACUGUUUAGCUUGAGUGCAGAGGGGGUGGGUGGAAUUCCGUGUGUAACGGUGAAAUACAUAGAUAUAUGGAGAAACACCGGUGGCGAAAGCGGCUCUCUGGUCUGUAACUGUCGCUGAGGAUCGAAAGCGUGGGGAGCAAACAGG
rnacentral:rRNA from 1 species